GCAAUCAAAUCAGUACUAAAGCACUGGAUCCCGUUAGAACUCCGCAGUUAAGCGUGCUUGGGCGAGAGUAGUACUAGGAUGGGUGACCCCCUUGGAAGUCCACGUAUUGCACCCC